GCCAUGGCGGUGACCCAGCAGGGCUCGGGAGGACCAGCGGGUCAGGAGGAGUGGGUAGAGCGCAGGCGCACAGUGGGCCUAGCCACUCUGGCUAGUGUUAAGCUAACCUGCUCUACUUGGGCCAGCGGUCACAGCUCUGAUGUUGGCUCUUCCCACCAGCCUGGAACCAACCACAAUUACUUGGAUUCCCAUCUGGAGAAGAAAUUGUGAGUAAGAAGGAGAAAAGGCAGUAUGGAGAAUUCUCUUUUACCACCAAGAAACUCAGAGCUGGACUGAAGGAAGAACAUAAUGGUGAUGAAGAGAGACUUUAAUGCCUGAGGCUCUACGGCACCAGGUUCAACCCCCAACACUACCAUAAGCCAGAACUGAACAGUGUUCUGGUCUCUCACUCUGUAUCUCUCUCAUUAAAAUAAAAAUCAUACUAUCAAUCAGAAACCCAGA